GACGAACGCUGGCGGCGUGCUUAACACAUGCAAGUCGAACGGAAAGGCCCUGCUUUUGUGGGGUGCUCGAGUGGCGAACGGGUGAGUAACACGUGAGUAACCUGCCCUUGACUUUGGGAUAACUUCAGGAAACUGGGGCUAAUACCGGAUAGGAGCUCCUGCUGCAUGGUGGGGGUUGGAAAGUUUCGGCGGUUGGGGAUGGACUCGCGGCUUAUCAGCUUGUUGGUGGGGUAGUGGCUUACCAAGGCUUUGACGGGUAGCCGGCCUGAGAGGGUGACCGGCCACAUUGGGACUGAGAUACGGCCCAGACUCCUACGGGAGGCAGCAGUGGGGAAUAUUGCACAAUGGGCGGAAGCCUGAUGCAGCAACGCCGCGUGCGGGAUGACGGCCUUCGGGUUGUAAACCGCUUUCGCCUGUGACGAAGCGUGAGUGACGGUAAUGGGUAAAGAAGCACCGGCUAACUACGUGCCAGCAGCCGCGGUGAUACGUAGGGUGCGAGCGUUGUCCGGAUUUAUUGGGCGUAAAGGGCUCGUAGGUGGUUGAUCGCGUCGGAAGUGUAAUCUUGGGGCUUAACCCUGAGCGUGCUUUCGAUACGGGUUGACUUGAGGAAGGUAGGGGAGAAUGGAAUUCCUGGUGGAGCGGUGGAAUGCGCAGAUAUCAGGAGGAACACCAGUGGCGAAGGCGGUUCUCUGGGCCUUUCCUGACGCUGAGGAGCGAAAGCGUGGGGAGCGAACAGGCUUAGAUACCCUGGUAGUCCACGCUGUAAACGGUGGGUACUAGGUGUGGGGUCCAUUCCACGGGUUCCGUGCCGUAGCUAACGCUUUAAGUACCCCGCCUGGGGAGUACGGCCGCAAGGCUAAAACUCAAAGGAAUUGACGGGGCCCCGCACAAGCGGCGGAGCAUGCGGAUUAAUUCGAUGCAACGCGUAGAACCUUACCUGGGUUUGACAUGGAUCGGGAGUGCUCAGUGAUGGGUGUGCCUCUUUUGGGGUCGGUUCACAGGUGGUGCAUGGCUGUCGUCAGCUCGUGUCGUGAGAUGUUGGGUUAAGUCCCGCAACGAGCGCAACCCUUGUUCACUGUUGCCAGCACGUUAUGGUGGGGACUCAGUGGAGACCGCCGGGGUCAACUCGGAGGAAGGUGGGGAUGACGUCAAGUCAUCAUGCCCCUUAUGUCCAGGGCUUCACGCAUGCUACAAUGGCUGGUACAGAGAGUGGCGAGCCUGUGAGGGUGAGCGAAUCUCGGAAAGCCGGUCUCAGUUCGGAUUGGGGUCUGCAACUCGACCUCAUGAAGUCGGAGUCGCUAGUAAUCGCAGAUCAGCAACGCUGCGGUGAAUACGUUCCCGGG
rnacentral:rRNA from 1 species